UACGUAGGUGGCAAGCGUUGUCCGGAAUUAUUGGGCGUAAAGCGCGCGCAGGCGGCUCGGAAAGUCGGGUGUGAAAACUCGGGGCUCAACCCCGGGCGUGCAUCCGAUACUGCCGGGCUUGAGGCAGGUAGGGGAGAUCGGAAUUCCUGGUGUAGCGGUGAAAUGCGCAGAUAUCAGGAGGAACACCGGUGGCGAAGGCGGGACUCUGGGCCGAUACUGACGCUGAGGAGCGAAAGCGUGGGGAGCGAACAGG
rnacentral:rRNA from 1 species